GGGUUGUGAGGUUAAGCGACUAAGCGUACACGGUGGAUGCCCUGGCAGUCAGAGGCGAUGAAGGACGUGCUAAUCUGCGAUAAGCGUCGGUAAGGUGAUAUGAACCGUUAUAACCGGCGAUUUCCGAAUGGGGAAACCCAGUGUGAUUCGUCACACUAUCAUUAACUGAAUCCAUAGGUUAAUGAGGCGAACCGGGGGAACUGAAACAUCUAAGUACCCCGAGGAAAAGAAAUCAACCGAGAUUCCCCCAGUAGCGGCGAGCGAACGGGGAGCAGCCCAGAGCCUGAAUCAGUGUGUGUGUUAGUGGAAGCGUCUGGAAAGGCGCGCGAUACAGGGUGACAGCCCCGUACACAAAAAUGCACAUACUGUGAGCUCGAUGAGUAGGGCGGGACACGUGGUAUCCUGUCUGAAUAUGGGGGGACCAUCCUCCAAGGCUAAAUACUCCUGACUGACCGAUAGUGAACCAGUACCGUGAGGGAAAGGCGAAAAGAACCCCGGCGAGGGGAGUGAAAAAGAACCUGAAACCGUGUACGUACAAGCAGUGGGAGCACGCUUAGGCGUGUGACUGCGUACCUUUUGUAUAAUGGGUCAGCGACUUAUAUUCUGUAGCAAGGUUAACCGAAUAGGGGAGCCGAAGGGAAACCGAGUCUUAACUGGGCGUUAAGUUGCAGGGUAUAGACCCGAAACCCGGUGAUCUAGCCAUGGGCAGGUUGAAGGUUGGGUAACACUAACUGGAGGACCGAACCGACUAAUGUUGAAAAAUUAGCGGAUGACUUGUGGCUGGGGGUGAAAGGCCAAUCAAACCGGGAGAUAGCUGGUUCUCCCCGAAAGCUAUUUAGGUAGCGCCUCGUGAAUUCAUCUCCGGGGGUAGAGCACUGUUUCGGCAAGGGGGUCAUCCCGACUUACCAACCCGAUGCAAACUGCGAAUACCGGAGAAUGUUAUCACGGGAGACACACGGCGGGUGCUAACGUCCGUCGUGAAGAGGGAAACAACCCAGACCGCCAGCUAAGGUCCCAAAGUCAUGGUUAAGUGGGAAACGAUGUGGGAAGGCCCAGACAGCCAGGAUGUUGGCUUAGAAGCAGCCAUCAUUUAAAGAAAGCGUAAUAGCUCACUGGUCGAGUCGGCCUGCGCGGAAGAUGUAACGGGGCUAAACCAUGCACCGAAGCUGCGGCAGCGACGCUUAUGCGUUGUUGGGUAGGGGAGCGUUCUGUAAGCCUGCGAAGGUGUGCUGUGAGGCAUGCUGGAGGUAUCAGAAGUGCGAAUGCUGACAUAAGUAACGAUAAAGCGGGUGAAAAGCCCGCUCGCCGGAAGACCAAGGGUUCCUGUCCAACGUUAAUCGGGGCAGGGUGAGUCGACCCCUAAGGCGAGGCCGAAAGGCGUAGUCGAUGGGAAACAGGUUAAUAUUCCUGUACUUGGUGUUACUGCGAAGGGGGGACGGAGAAGGCUAUGUUGGCCGGGCGACGGUUGUCCCGGUUUAAGCGUGUAGGCUGGUUUUCCAGGCAAAUCCGGAAAACUAAGGCUGAGGCGUGAUGACGAGGCACUACGGUGCUGAAGCAACAAAUGCCCUGCUUCCAGGAAAAGCCUCUAAGCAUCAGGUAACAUCAAAUCGUACCCCAAACCGACACAGGUGGUCAGGUAGAGAAUACCAAGGCGCUUGAGAGAACUCGGGUGAAGGAACUAGGCAAAAUGGUGCCGUAACUUCGGGAGAAGGCACGCUGAUAUGUAGGUGAAGUCCCUCGCGGAUGGAGCUGAAAUCAGUCGAAGAUACCAGCUGGCUGCAACUGUUUAUUAAAAACACAGCACUGUGCAAACACGAAAGUGGACGUAUACGGUGUGACGCCUGCCCGGUGCCGGAAGGUUAAUUGAUGGGGUCAGCGCAAGCGAAGCUCUUGAUCGAAGCCCCGGUAAACGGCGGCCGUAACUAUAACGGUCCUAAGGUAGCGAAAUUCCUUGUCGGGUAAGUUCCGACCUGCACGAAUGGCGUAAUGAUGGCCAGGCUGUCUCCACCCGAGACUCAGUGAAAUUGAACUCGCUGUGAAGAUGCAGUGUACCCGCGGCAAGACGGAAAGACCCCGUGAACCUUUACUAUAGCUUGACACUGAACAUUGAGCCUUGAUGUGUAGGAUAGGUGGGAGGCUUUGAAGUGUGGACGCCAGUCUGCAUGGAGCCGAC
rnacentral:rRNA from 1 species